UGUAAGGAAGCUGGAUAGGAACAACAUUGUAUGGAGAUAAUGCAAAGGGAAAGAGAGGAUAGGAACACUGUGGGGCGACUUCACAGGGACUUUUGGGGUGCCAGGAAGUCUGAAAGGAGGGCAAUGGUGACUGAAUCAGGUUUGUAGAUAAAAAUACUGUGUGACUAACUGCCUUGUGUAUGUGUGGGUAAGAGAGAAGGUUUGGGGUAUGAGAGGGCCUAAGAGGGAGUAAGAACACUGGGAUCAAAGUAGGCAUUCACUUCUCUGCCUCAGAUCCAGUGGGAGGUGCAGCAGACACCUUCUCACACUGAAGAUGCUCAUGCUUUCAAGUCCAUCAGGACUUCCGUCCAGAGACUCAGGGCUUCUGGGACAAGCAACCUCCUCAAACUUAGAGUUUAUUAGACUUUCUUUGUAAACAAUUUUUGCCACCCAGGAACAAGGACAGGCAGGAACUUACCUCUGGAUGCAAACAGUGUGGAAAGAGCAGAAUAGCUCAUGCUUGCCACACUCAACUGCUUACACAAAUGAUGUUUUGCGGGUUUCCCUAAGUCUUUCCAGACUCCGUCCUCACCAUCAUAAUCACCCAGCCAUCCAGCUCUCAAGGUGCCUCUGGAAAGUUCUCAGUGCAUUGUCUGGGUUCACCUAUGUUCAAAAUGGAACAGGGUGAGUGAAUGAGCAGCUCCCUAAUUCAUCUGUGUCCGGCUUUGGCCACCUGUAGGUCCAUUCACCAUGAGACUGACAUCCCAAUGAUCUAGCUAAAGCUCAGUCUGAUCUAUUUAAAGUCCUUCUUUGAUACUUACAGGAUCAAGUCCAAACAACUUCACUUGGCAUACAAAGCCCUGCUGUGACUCAAUUGUAACAUUCCCACAAACCUUGCAGACAUCUGGCCUCUCUACAUCCUCCAGCCAUAGCGAACUUCUUCAGGUCUAUGAUACUUGAGAUGCAUCACUUUGCAGCUGGCCUAAGAUGCUUCUUCCUGUAACACUGCUCUCUCUUCCAUGCCUGCCUCUGUAACACCAGAAGACAAGAAAGGGUGUUGGGUACCUGGCACUGGAGUUACAGAUGGUUGUGAGAUGCCCGUGGGUGCCGAGAACUAAGCCUGGUCGUCUGGCGGCGCAUCCCACGCUCCUCACUGUUGAGUCUCUCCAACCCUGCUGCUGCUGCUGCUUUCCUUUUCAUUACUGUGCUCGAUCCUUCCCAUCACAAGCAUUCUACAUCAACGAUUUAAAGUGUUGGUUGACUUGGAUCAUGCCUUAGAUCAUGCUGGUCAUUCCAGGGCCUCAUCUGCGGCCGGCACAUUCUCAUCUGUGAGCGACACCCUCGACCCCUCAGUAGUCACUCUGAGGGGACUUCACAGAGAAUGGUGCAGGCCUGCGGGUGAGUGUCCCUGUUCACAGUGGUCAUCUUGGAUUCCAGGAUGGCCAGUAGGGAAAAGAGCCCUCACAGCCAUCGACGUGGAGCCAUCGACGUGGAGCCAUCGACGUGGAGCCAUCGACGUGGAGCGGUCGCCGUGGAACGGUCGCCUGGAACCAUCGCCGUGGAACGGUUGCCGUGGAGCGAUCACCGUGGAAUGAUCGCUGCAGAACGGUCGCUGCAGAACGGUCGCCGUGGAACGGUCGCCGCGGAACGGUCGCGCAGACUAGGGGACACAGGCUUUGGCGAGGGCUCCCAGUCAGGGCUCCAGGCUCUGCAGCCAUCUCCUGUAGCUCUCCCGUCCCCACCACAGAACUGGUAGAGGUUUCAGUCAAUCAUCGAGGGAAGGCGAGGCAGGAACUCAAGACAGGAACCUGGAGGCAGGAACUGAAGUGGAGACCAUGGAGGAAGCUGAGAUGAUGAUGGCUUCAUGAAGAGCAUCAUUAAUAAAUGAAGAGCCAGGCCAGCAUGGUAGAUGUACGAAGAACGUGAAGCAUUGUAGCCUACAAAGGAUGACGGUGGCUUUUCUGGACUCUGAAAAACACUGCUAACAGAUACAAGAUUUUCACACCACAAACCGGUUUCCAAAUUACUGUAAAGUCACUAGUUAGUGGCUUAAAUAGUUGCCACUGAAAAUAUAUUUAGGGUGUGCUGUCCAGGCUGAAUCUAAAAGAUAAUCAAUAUUUAGUCUGAAGGAAAAAGAAUAAACGUGUAUAGCACACCUAUGACAUGCCAAGGACUUUGUAUUUGUGAUCUCACUUAAUUUUCACAACAGUUAAUGAGUGAUUUACACCCACUUCUUGGACAUGGAAGUGGCAGAGCCCCAGAGAGGAUAUGCAAGGAUAUGUCACGAAGACAGAGUGGCUGGUACGUAGAGACACAGACAGCUCCUUACGGUGGCAAUGCUCAUCUUCGCCGUGCCGCAUCAUGGAGCCUCUGGAGCUGCCUGUCAGGUAUGUGCAAGGAAUUGUGGUCGGAUCCUUCCCCCCCCUUACUGUGGACACUUGUGGGCUCACCAUUGCUGUCUAGCUGAA